CUUGACCUGUCAGCAGGAGUUGCUUCUCAGAGUUAAACGAUUUUAAUCUCUUCCCCUUCCUUUUUUGAGAUCAAUUUUACUCUCUCUUGCCAAGUCACAGGAUGGAAGAGGUGGACUGUUUCAGGAGAGAUAGCAUAGACAGUUUGCUUUCCUUGAAACAAAGAAAACAAAAAUUGCCGAAGAAAGUGCACUAAAUUAAGAGAACCAUAGAUAUGGUCUGCUUGCACUUACCCUAUCUAUGUGUGUGUUUGCGUCCUUAACUCCUGGUGGAGUUGUUGGGGUGCCGUCAUUUUACUUUGGUGAUUGCUCAUCACAUGGAGUGUCUUGGGCAUCUGAAGUCUGGCACAGCCCAUCCCUCUCCAGCUUUUUUGGAUCUGGCUGGAUUCGAACUCGGGAGCCUUCGCUCUGAAGUCCAGCACUGAUGCCACUAAACCACCAGCCAGCCUACCCUAUCUAUACUUCACGUAAUUUUGUGUAGCUCUAUCAAAUCUCCCCUCAUUCUCUUAUGCUGCAGGGAAUCAAGUCCGAAACUUUAACCACAGUCGAAGUGUCUGAAACUAGCAGGCAUUGGUUUAAGGUUAGAAGAGGAUCUGAAGAAGAAUUUCCAAUUACCAAUUUUUAUCAAUGCACCAUUGAAACCAUGCUGCCUUGGUAUGCCAACUGUUCUGCAGGUCAACACAAGAAACCAGAGAGUGUGGACAAAACUCAUCACAUCACAGAAAACAGCCUCCUCCACCAUGGAUUCUGUCUGUCAUUCUCUUCGCCUUGGUAGAGCAACCAGUAUUAUCAAAGACCCAAUCCACCCCGGACAGUCUCCCUUCUGCUCUCUUCCAUUGGACAGAAGAUACAAAGGCCUGAACUCCAGGUUCAAGGACAGGUUCAAGAGUGCAACGUCUUUUCCACUCUCCCACACAGGUGUUGUGUCAUGGUCGGACGUGAUGGGCAACCACCACCACCAUCAUUUCAACGCAAUGUGCAAAAAUGUGGUCUGUAUGAACAGUAUGCAAGACCAGAUUUUCACUGUAUCUCAGUAAAUUUGACAAUAAAAACAAAAACAAUUCCAUGUAUGUUUUUUAACCCGACGUGAUUGAAAUCUGGAACACAAUCCCUGAGAAGCUGGUUGAAACUGAUAUUCACACAGCAUUUAAGAAGCAUCAAGACAAGCAUUUGAAUCACUAAGGCAAGGUGUUGCCUAACCUGCUGAGUUCCACCAGCAUUUGUCUAUGUUGCUUGAAAUCUACACCUGCCAUCUACCAUUUUCCAAUGGGUACAGAGAAGGACGAGUUCCUGGACCUAGGGAGCAAUGAAUAAAUGCUGCAGACUGUAGCAGAGCAGCUACUAAGGUUCAUCGGAUGGAUUACUAAAUGCAGAAGUGAGAGCAAUCCCACACAUCCAAGGAGAGUAAUAUAAUAUCUUUGCUAACAAGUUUUUUAAUUUACAUUUUACACAUUUGAACAAUGCGUGCUAACUGUUCAUUUUGUCAGUAAUUAAUGGCUUGAGCAGCAGCUUUAAAGUUCAACUGAAAUCAAAGUAAUUCUGGAUACCUGCCAACUCCCCUCAUUCUACAGUUAGGUCUUCACUGAAUACCGCAACUUAUUUCAUAUCCACCGGAGACCUGUAAUCUUCACCAAAAAUAAAGCUUAAGUGAUGUUGUCAACCAACCUGUAUUAAAUUAAAGUGGAAAAGCUCUCCGUAGGAUUGAUGCUUAAUUGCAACUUAAUUAGCAUAAUUAUGCAUACUAAUAGCAUCUCAAAUGAAUAGUACUUACCAUGAGGUUUUAAACUUAUUAACACAAGCAGAUUAAAACAUCAUUUUUCAUGUUUAAACAUGCUGUAAUUGUAACUUGAAAGUAAUAUUUCAUUCUACAUUUUUUUUUGGUCAAGAUUUUGCUAAAAGAUUGGUAUUUUCAUUCAAAACCAGUGAUAGGGUUCUUCACUCUUUGCGUUCUAUGGGCAACAUUUGAUAGCCAAUUGAUACUGUUUGAUACCUGUUAAACGGCAAUGGUCUUAUAAGAGGCCAGAGAUAGGGAUCAUUGGAUCAUGAGGUAGUGUGUCUGAUGGUGGUACCUUCUUUUGUAAGUCCAGUCCCUAAUUUUUUUGAUUUCCACAAUGCUUAGGAGUCUGUUUGGACAACAACAAGGCAUCUACUGUUUUCUGAGUUAGUGAGUUCAAGGGACUCACAGUCAACUGUGGAAAGUGAAUUCCUCACAACGUGGUUAUAAACUGAGAGCUCCUUUGUCCAGGGACAAUAUCUCCCAAGAAGCUAUAAAGCUGGAUUGUCCAAUGCUCAGAUAUUCCUCCUCAGUGCUUGUAUGACUAUUAGCUAUACCUUAGUCUUCUUCCCACUCAUAAUCAAAGAUGAGAUAGAGAUCUGUCACUGAUGUGCUCAUCUGCUUUGCCCUUGAUCUCACCAGACCAACAUCGCAGCAGACCUGAAAAAAUGGUUUAAAUAUCCAAUCAUCUGCUUUAUACUAAAGGUGAACAACUGCUGACCCCAUUCAUAAAUCCACAGUGGAAAGAGAAAAGUUUAGAUCUACAGAAAACAGUCAUGCAACGAUACAGCACUGGCCUGAACCAAACAGUGAAAUAAAGCCAAUUAGUGAACCUGCCGACCCUAAGGAUUCCUUGAGCUGUUCAAAGCAACUUCAGC